rnacentral:rRNA from 1 species
UACCUGCAGCUCGAGUGGUGAUCGUUAUUAUUGGGCAUAAAACGUCCGUAGCCGGUCUUAUAAAUGCCUGGGUAAAUCGUAUGGCUUAACCAUACGAAUUCCGGGUAGACUGUUUGACUUGAGACCGGGAGAAGCUAGAGGUACUCCUUGGGUAGAGGUGAAAUUCUGUAAUCCUAGGGGGACCACCAGUGGCGAAGGCGUCUAGCUAGAACGGGUCUGACGGUGAGGGACGAAGCCCUGGGGCGCAAACGGGAUUAGAUACCCCGGUAGUCCAGGGUGUAAACGCUGCUUGCUUGAUGUUAGUCUGGCUCCGAGCCAGAUUAGUGUCGGAGAGAAGUUGUUAAGCAAGCUGCCUGGGAAGUACGGCCGCAAGACUGAAACUUAAAGGAAUUGGGCGGGGAGCACAGCAACGGGUGGAGCGUGCGGUUU